rnacentral:rRNA from 1 species
UACGGAGGGUGCGAGCGUUGUCCGGAAUCAUUGGGCGUAAAGGGCGCGUAGGCGGCCUGUUAAGUCGGGGGUGAAAUCCUGCGGCUUAACCGCAGGGCUGCCUUCUAAACUGUCGGGCUAGAGCACGGUAGAGGCAGAUGGAAUUCCCGGUGUAGCGGUGGAAUGCGUAGAGAUCGGGAAGAACAUCAGUGGCGAAGGCGGUCUGCUGGGCCGUUGCUGACGCUGAGGCGCGACAGCGUGGGGAGCAAACAGG